rnacentral:rRNA from 1 species
UAGGGAAUCUUCGGCAAUGGACGAAAGUCUGACCGAGCAAUGCCGCGUGAGUGAAGAAGGUUUUCGGAUCGUAAACUCUGUUGGUAGAGAAGAACGUUGGUGAGAGUGGAAAGCUCAUCAAGUGACGGUAACUACCCAGAAAGGGACGGCUAACUACGUGCCAC